GCGGAUGUGGUGGAAUUGGUAGACACGCUAGAUUUAGGUUCUAGUGCCGAAAGGCGUGGGGGUUCAAGUCCCUCCAUCCGUACCA
rnacentral:tRNA from 2 species